GGUAAAAAAUGGAAAGGAGGAAGAACGAAAGAACUGAUUCAACUGCAAGACACCAAACAGGUACUGGGAUGGUUCUUUCCGACAGAGACACAAACACUUCCAGCACAAGAAGUGCGUCCGUACCGAGACACCCACUUCACUCACUGUGUGUCCAAGACUCUGAUCCCAGUCGCCUUCUCAAAAUUCACGGAAAUGCCACUCUUCUCUCAUAGUAACCGCCCCUCACCCUCUCUUCCCACCUCCUACUCCUCCAAACCCCUGAAGCCCCAAAAACUCAAUUCUACCCCUCCCCCCUACCGCCUCCCCCUGCCCAUUCUCGUCUUUUCACUCCUCUGCUUCCUCUUCGGCCUCUCCGGCACAAUCUUCGCCGUCUCCUCCCUCCGCCGCCCCAGACCCGUGCCCGUCUUCCGAUGCGGCCGAUCCGAAGACACUUUCCGGGCAUUCUAUACGGCCUCCAGUUCUCGGCAGCUCGGAGAUCAUGGGGGCUUGGUGGAGCGCCCUAAGGUUCUUGGGUUCGUCGGAAUUCAGACCGGGUUCGGCUCCGCUGAUCGCCGGGCAGCCCUGCGGAGCACUUGGUUUCCUUCCGACCCAGAUGGACUUUUGAGAUUGGAACAAGCUACUGGUUUAGCUUUUAGGUUUGUAAUUGGACUAUCGAAAAAUGCAAAAAAUAUGGCAGAGCUUCAUGAAGAGGUGGAGAAGUACAGAGAUUUCAUGCUUAUUGAUGUCGUGGAAGAAUAUUCAAAGCUUCCAUACAAAUCGCUGGCAUUUUUCAAAGCAGCUUUUGAACUUUUUGAAGCAGAUUAUUAUGUCAAAGCUGAUGAUGACAUUUAUUUACGCCCAGAUCGGCUAUCAACUCUUCUAGCUAAGGAGCGAACACAUUCACUGACUUACAUUGGAUGCAUGAAGAAAGGACCAGUGAUAACUGACCCUAAAAAUAAAUGGUAUGAGAAAUCCGGACAUCUGAUUGGAAAUGAAUACUUUUUACAUGCUUAUGGUCCUAUAUAUGUUCUUUCUGCAGAGGUGGUAGCUUCACUGGCAGCUGCUAGAAAUAACAGCCUUCAGUUUGAGGAUACUUAGCAAUGAGGAUGUCACAAUUGGGUCAUGGAUGCUUGCUAUGAAUGUCCAUCACGAAGAUAACAAGGCAAUAUGUGACCCUCGAUGCACGCCUACAUCUAUUGCAGUGUGGGACAUCCCAAAAUGUUCAGGUUUAUGCAACCCAUCUACCAGGUUGAAGGAGCUUCACGAGAUUAGUAUGUGCUCCAAAAGUCCGACCUUGCCUCCUGAUGACAGAUAGUACGUGAAAAUAGUCUGGCAUGAAAUUACACCCUACAUGCUGAAAAUACAGGAAGAUGAUCAGCUUGCUUAAGGGGGAAAAGAUAAAAAUAUAUAGGUCUUUGAAGCUACCUUCUGAAGACAUGACAUCUCCUUUUGUAGUCUUCCAUCUAUGCUUGUUGUGCAAGCCAUGUACUUUUAUUGAGCUUCUCCUAUGACAUCUUCCUCGGAUGAUUCCACUCAUUAAUCUACGGUACCAGUGAAUAGUACGGUGUUAGUACCUGAAGAAUAUAUGAAUAGGAUGGCGGUAUAUGAAAAUAAAUAAAUAAACUAUAUAUAAACCAUGGUUUUUCUUUCA